rnacentral:piRNA from 1 species
UCCUCGAUGUCCAGUGUCCACGCACCUCC